rnacentral:rRNA from 1 species
CCUACGGGAGGCAGCAGUGAGGAAUAUUGGUCAAUGGCCGAAAGGCUGAACCAGCCAUGCCGCGUGAAGGUCAGUGCCCUAUGGGCGUUAAACUUCUUUUGUGCGGGAGCAAUAAUGGUCACGUGUGGCCAGACGAGAGUACCGUACGAAUAAGCAUCGGCUAACUCCGUGCCAGCAGCCGCGGUAAUACGGGGGAUGCAAGCGUUAUCCGGAUUUAUUGGGGUUAAAGGGUGCGUAGGCUGUGAGGUAAGUCAGCGGUGAAAUGCCCCCGCUCAAAGGGGUGAAGUGCCAUUGAUACUGCCUUGCUGGAAUGCGGAUGCAGUGGGAGGAAUGUGUGGUGUAGCGGUGAAAUGCAUAGAUAUCACACAGAACACCGAUUGCGAAGGCAUCUCACGAAUCCGCGAUUGACGCUGAUGCACGAAAGCGUGGGUAUCAAACAGGAUUAGAUACCCCAGUAGUC